rnacentral:rRNA from 1 species
UACGUAGGGUGCAAGCGUUGCCCGGAUUUAUUGGGCGUAAAGGGCGCGUAGGCGGCUCGGCACGUCCGUUGUGAAAUCGCCCGGCUCAACUGGGCGGGGUCAGCGGAUACGGCCGAGCUUGAGCAAGCUAGGGGGCAAUGGAAUUCCCGGUGUAGUGGUGGAAUGCGUAGAUAUCAGGAGGAACACCGAUGGCGAAGGCAGGUCUCUGGGCAUUAACUGACGCUGAGGAGCGAAAGCAUGGGGAGCGAACAGG